GUCAACUGUGGCGCCAUUUGGACGCAACUGUGCAGCAGUAGAGCAAACAAAGUAAUAGUGCCACAGCUGAUGCCAUUGUAGAGGUUGCUAGUUCAAUCCCAAGCUCCUCCUAGCUGAGUGUUGAUGUGUCCCUGACACUUUGCUCCUGACAGCUGGCUGUCUGUCGCCUUGCAUGGUUGACUCUGCCAUCGGUGUGUCAAUGUGUGUAUUAACAGAUGUAAGUCGCUUUGGAUAAAGCGUCUGCUAAAUGUAAAUGUAGUACUGUAGCUGAUAAGACACUCUUUUGCCAAAUGAUUUAUUUUCUAGCAUGCAGCUCUGGAGACAUUUAUGAAUGGCACGCUCACACACAUGUAUCGCUGAAAUGACUUCAAUUCUCAAAUGAUUUAAUGUUGUAUCGGCACACAAAAAAUCACAUUUUGGGUUGGGUUGCAAGGGCGUAACCACGCAUUCUUUGGGGGGGUCGUGCCCCCCCCAAUGUUGAGAAAAUACUAACCUGUCCCCCCCAAUAUACAGCAGGAUAAAAUGUAAAAUAUAUGUUAUCUUUUUAUGAACCCUGUCAAUGGAUCGGUCUCUUGUUAUGUCUUAUUUAUUUUCAAUUUAUUUCCGUUUGUUAAGUGUGUGAAUCCCCCCUCCUAAUUGUACACUUGUGCGAUUUAGUUUGAAACCACCUCGCAACUUUCUGCGUUGUCAUGGUUACCCCACACUCUUUCUUCAGUGAGAGCCAAGAAAGUAAAGUUGAGUAAUGGAGGAUUUGAGGUUGCCUAAAAAGCAGAAGAAACUGGACCAACAGCCAAGCAUACGCAGUUUUUUUCAGACAGCAGCACAGAGAGAGAAGGAGAGAGACAGGCAUGCUGAAAGCAGUGGCCAGACAGGGACAUGCUCUGAACAUGCAGGUGAUCAGGCAUCACGGAGAGACAGGGAGAGAGACAGGCAGGCUGAAAGCAGUGGCCAGACAGGGACAUGCUCUGGACAUGCAGGUGAUAAGGUGAGAAUUUUGAAUGUGAGACUAGACAGCCUUACAACAUUGUUUAUAACCUGGGCCUAAUACAAGCAGAAUAUAUAGACCAAAAUGAUCACGAAGGUCAGCCACUGUUCUUCUGAUAACAUAAUGACAUGUGGUCACAAUGCAGGCAGCACAGACAGACAGGGAGGCAGAGAGGCAGGCUGAAUUGUAGGCAAUGCACUUAACAAAUAAUAAUAAAAAAUUGGACCCCCCCCAAUGUCUAAACCAUGGUUACGCCCUUGUUGGGUUGUCAUAAUUUCAUUCACCACUAGAUGUCCCUAGCGUACUCAUUUGAAGCUUUGAGCAUGAACCACUUUGGUGGUUCAUCUGGCUGAGAGGCUUUGAUGUUUCAUGACGCAUCAUCUCGGCACCACUAAUAGGCAUCAGGCGGGAGGUCAGUCAAACGAGAGAACAGCAACAGGCAGGCAGGCAGAUAUGAGAUACACGGAGAUAGAGAAUGCGGGAAAGCUCAGUCAAGACUAGAGACGAUCUGGCAGAGGCUGUUUCCCAAAGUGAAGGCUGCAGCCUUGCUAGGACGCGUCCUUGCUAGUCGCGUCCUAUGGAGAUGAGACUAGAGUGCUAGCUCGAGUGCUUCCUAGCGUUUGUAACGUCGGACUUUGGGAACGACUUGGUAGUGUGGAAGCGCUUCCGCUUCCGCUUUUUAAUACUGCGUGUCCGCUUGUAAACACAUGUGCGCUUAUGAAUAAAACAUGGCAGCAAUCAAGCUGAUCGAUAUUUAUUUGACUUUUGUCUGUUAUGAAUGCGGUCAUGUCUCCUUCGCAUGGAGCCUCUUCGGGGAAGUCACAAAAGCUUUGUUGUGGUUGAUCGAAUUGUCUUUAUUAAAAGGAAAAUCCAUUCAAUUUUUAUAAAACUAAGUGAAAUUGUCUGAGAACUUAAUUCAUGCAUCACAUUUACAGUACGGUUGAUUACUAUUAUGCAGGGGGAAAAGACAAAGAAAGAGAUGAUAAACGUGUAUUUAUUUGGAUAUAUUAUUUAACUGAUCUGUUUCAUUCAUUCAUAUAUGCCUACAAU
rnacentral:lncRNA from 1 species